UACGUAGGGUGCAAGCGUUAAUCGGAAUUACUGGGCGUAAAGCGUGCGCAGGCGGUCUUGCAAGACAGAUGUGAAAUCCCCGGGCUCAACCUGGGAACUGCAUCCGAGACUGCAUUGCUAGAGUAUGGGAGAGGGAAGCGGAAUUUCUGGUGUAGCAGUGAAAUGCGUAGAUAUCAGAAGGAACAUCAGUGGCGAAGGCGGCUUCCUGGACCAAUACUGACGAUCAGGUGCGAAAGCGUGGGGAGCAAACAGG
rnacentral:rRNA from 1 species